rnacentral:rRNA from 1 species
AUACGGAGGAUCCGAGCGUUAUCCGGAUUUAUUGGGUUUAAAGGGUGCGCAGGCGGCCAUUUAAGUCAGCGGUUAAAUCGUGGGGCUCAACCCCAUUCUGCCGUUGAUACUGGGUGGCUUGAUUGCGGUCGAGGUUGGCGGAAUUCGUUGUGUAGCGGUGAAAUGCAUAGAUAUGACGAAGAACACCGAUUGCGGAGGCAGCUGACCAGACCGCAAAUGACGCUCAUGCACGAAAGUGCGGGGAUCGAACAGGAUUAGAUACCCUGGUAGUCCGCACAGUAAGCGAUGAAUACUUGUUUUCGGCGAUAUAAUGUCGGAGGCAAAGCGAAAGCGAUAAGUAUUCCACCUGGGGAGUACGCCGGCAACGGUGAAACUUAAAGGAAUUGACGGGG